rnacentral:piRNA from 1 species
CAGAAGAGCUGAAAUGGUGGUAAAAGC